GAUGAACGCUAGCGGCAGGCCUGAUACAUGCAAGACGAACGGCAAGAAUGAUAGCAAUAUUGUUCCUAGAGUGUCGUAAGGGUGCGUAACACGUAUGCAAUCUACCCGAAACAGGAGGAUAGCUCCCCGAAAGGGGAAUUAACACUCCAUAAGAUCAUAGAAUGGCAUCAUUCAGUGAUUAAAACUGAGGUGGUUUCGGAUGAGCAUGCGUUUGAUUAGUUAGUUGGUGAGGUAACGGCUCACCAAGACGAUGAUCAAUAGGGGAACUGAGAGGUUGAUCCCCCACACUGGCACUGAGAUACGGGCCAGACUCCUACGGGAGGCAGCAGUAGGGAAUAUUGGACAAUGGGUGAGAGCCUGAUCCAGCCAUGCCGCGUGCAGGAAGAAGGCCUUCUGGGUUGUAAACUGCUUUUGCCAGGGGAUAAAAUUUCCUUGCGAGGAAAAUUGAAGGUACCUGGUGAAUAAGCCACGGCUAACUACGUGCCAGCCGCCGCAGUAACAC
rnacentral:rRNA from 1 species